GACGAACGCUGGCGGCGUGCUUAACACAUGCAAGUCGAACGGAAAGGCCCUGCUUUUGUGGGGUGCUCGAGUGGCGAACGGGUGAGUAACACGUGAGUAACCUGCCCUUGACUUUGGGAUAACUUCAGGAAACUGGGGCUAAUACCGGAUAGGAGCUCCUGCUGCAUGGUGGGGGUUGGAAAGUUUCGGCGGUUGGGGAUGGACUCGCGGCUUAUCAGCUUGUUGGUGGGGUAGUGGCUUACCAAGGCUUUGACGGGUAGCCGGCCUGAGAGGGUGACCGGCCACAUUGGGACUGAGAUACGGCCCAGACUCCUACGGGAGGCAGCAGUGGGGAAUAUUGCACAAUGGGCGGAAGCCUGAUGCAGCAACGCCGCGUGCGGGAUGACGGCCUUCGGGUUGUAAACCGCUUUCGCCUGUGAUGAAGCGUGAGUGACGGUAAUGGGUAAAGAAGCACCGGCUAACUACGUGCCAGCAGCCGCGGUGAUACGUAGGGUGCGAGCGUUGUCCGGAUUUAUUGGGCGUAAAGGGCUCGUAGGUGGUUGAUCGCGUCGGAAGUGUAAUCUUGGGGCUUAACCCUGAGCGUGCUUUCGAUACGGGUUGACUUGAGGAAGGUAGGGGAGAAUGGAAUUCCUGGUGGAGCGGUGGAAUGCGCAGAUAUCAGGAGGAACACCAGUGGCGAAGGCGGUUCUCUGGGCCUUUCCUGACGCUGAGGAGCGAAAGCGUGGGGAGCGAACAGGCUUAGAUACCCUGGUAGUCCACGCUGUAAACGGUGGGUACUAGGUGUGGGGUCCAUUCCACGGGUUCCGUGCCGUAGCUAACGCUUUAAGUACCCCGCCUGGGGAGUACGGCCGCAAGGCUAAAACUCAAAGGAAUUGACGGGGCCCCGCACAAGCGGCGGAGCAUGCGGAUUAAUUCGAUGCAACGCGUAGAACCUUACCUGGGUUUGACAUGGAUCGGGAGUGCUCAGAGAUGGGUGUGCCUCUUUUGGGGUCGGUUCACAGGUGGUGCAUGGCUGUCGUCAGCUCGUGUCGUGAGAUGUUGGGUUAAGUCCCGCAACGAGCGCAACCCUUGUUCACUGUUGCCAGCACGUUAUGGUGGGGACUCAGUGGAGACCGCCGGGGUCAACUCGGAGGAAGGUGGGGAUGACGCCAAGUCAUCAUGCCCCUUAUGUCCAGGGCUUCACGCAUGCUACAAUGGCUGGUACAGAGAGUGGCGAGCCUGUGAGGGUGAGCGAAUCUCGGAAAGCCGGUCUCAGUUCGGAUUGGGGUCUGCAACUCGACCUCAUGAAGUCGGAGUCGCUAGUAAUCGCAGAUCAGCAACGCUGCGGUGAAUACGUUCCCGGGGCU
rnacentral:rRNA from 1 species